UCUGAGUCAUGUAGGAGGAAGUAAAAGUCGUAACAAGGGUUCCGUAGACGAGGUUGCGGAUAGGAUCAUUAUUGAAUAUAAGCGGAGUGGGUGGUAGCUGGCCUCUGGGGGUGAGGCAUGUGCAUGCUUUUCUCUGUUCAUCCACACACACAUGUGAACUUGUGAGACGGAUAGCCCUCUCGGGGGCCGUCUGUCUGCUACACAUAAACUCCUAUUUAUAAAAGUGAAUGUAAUUGAUGUAACGCAUCUAUAAACUAAGUUUCAACAACGGAUCUCUUGGCUCUCGCAUCGAUGAAGAACGCAGCGAAAUGCGAUAAGUAAUGUGAAUUGCAGAAUUCAGUGAAUCAUCGAAUCUUUGAACGCACCUUGCGCUCCUUGGUAUUCCUCGGAGCAUGCCUGUUUGAGUAUCAUGAAAUCUUCAAAAUUAAUCUUUUGUUCAUUCGAUUGAUUUUAUUUUGGACUUGGAGGUCUGCAGAUUCACGUCUGCUCCUCUUAAAUUUAUUAGCUGGAUCUCAGUGAGCUCGGUUCCACUCGGCGUGAUAAGUAUCACUCGCUGAGGACACUGUAAUAGGUGGCCGGGGUUGCAGAUGAACUGCUUCUAAUAGUCCAUUCACUUGGACAAUUUAUUUAUGAUCUGAUCUCAAAUCAGGUAGGACUACCCGCUGAACUUAAGCAUAUCAAUAAGCGGAGGA
rnacentral:rRNA from 1 species